rnacentral:lncRNA from 1 species
AUUUAUAUGGGGAAAACCAUUGCUAAAUCAUUGUUUAAUGGAUUGAACUCCGAAUCUCUGAGAUAAUAUCUGCAGGUUGACUGGAGGAGUUAAUAUAAAGAUUUUCCUAUGUACGUUUCAUUUAGUUUCCUUUCCUGAAGCGAUGGCAGUUGAGAGACCCAGCUCAGGUGAUGGCCAUUGCACCCUCGGGAAGCAGUCUGCACCAAGACCCCUUGUGUGUGUUGUAGACAAGCAGUGUGGUAUCCAGGGGUCUGGUUAGGGCAGAUCUUAAUUUAUUCACUAAUGAUGUGACAGUGGGUAAGUCUCAUGGCAGCCAUCCAUCACUCUUUGCUUAUUAAAAAUUUUGAGUAUGUGGGAAUGAUAUAGUAAAGACUAUCAUGUUGUGCAUGUGUGCACACUUAUGUAUGUAUGCAUGUGCAUGUUCUUUGGGUUCUG